GUAAAGUUUAAUUCUGGCUUUAUCAUUUAUUAGAAAAUUAUUUUACAUGUAAAUAUUUUAUUGUUAAUAUUUUAAUCUAAAAGAUUAGUUAUUAAGUUCGCAGUAUUUAUUAUUAUAAAUUAAUAUAUUUAGAUAUAGAUAUUUUUUUUAAUACAGACUAAAAUUGUGCCAGCAGUCGCGGUUAUACAAUUUGUGUAAUUUAAUGAUUUAUGUUUCAGUUUUAGUAUAUUUAUGAUUUUAUUUAAAUGGAAAUUUAGUGAAAUAUUUUUUAUUUUGGUUUCAUUUUUAUAUUUUUUUUCUGGGAAACUUUUAUUGUUAAACUAGGAUUAGAUACCCUAUUAUUGAAAGUGUAAACUUAUUACUUGAUUAUUAAUAGAUAUUAUCUUUAAAAUCAAAGAAUUUGGCGGUAUUUUAUCCUUCCAGAGGAACCUGUUUUUUAAUCGAUAGUCCACGAUAAUGAAUACUUUAUUUACACUUGUAUAUCUCUGUCAAGAAUGUUUUAUUAGAAUAUUUUCUUUUAUUUUAUUUAUUAAAUGUCAGGUCAAGGUGCAGUUUAUAUUAAAGAAUAAAUGGGUUACAUUAUUUUAUUUUUGGAUUGUUUUUAUUUUAUAAAUAUCGAAAUUGGAUUUGGAAGUAAAAAAUAUCUUAAUUUAGAUUUUUGAUAUUGGUUCUAGAAUAUGUACACAUCGCCCGUCACUCUCAUUUUAAGGUGAGAUAAGUCGUAACAAAGUAGUUGUACCGGAAGGUGUGGCUAGAAAGAU
rnacentral:ncRNA from 1 species